UACGGAGGGAGCUAGCGUUGUUCGGAAUUACUGGGCGUAAAGCGCGCGCAGGCGGCUAUCCAAGUCAGUGGUGAAAGCCCGGAGCUCAACUCCGGAACUGCCAUUGAAACUGUUUAGCUUGAGGACGAGAGAGGUGAGUGGAAUUCCCAGUGUAGAGGUGAAAUUCGUAGAUAUUCGCAAGAACACCAGUGGCGAAGGCGGCUCACUGGCCCGAUACUGACGCUGAGGUGCGAAAGCGUGGGGAGCAAACAGG
rnacentral:rRNA from 1 species